rnacentral:rRNA from 1 species
AAUGGACGGAAGUCUGAACCAGCCAUCCCGCGUGCAGGAAGAAGGUCCUAUGGAUUGUAAACUGCUUUUAGCAGAGACGAAGACCUUUCAUUUAUGAGAGAGUGACGGUAUCUGCGGAAUAAGCACCGGCUAACUCCGUGCCAGCAGCCGCGGUAAUACGGAGGGUGCAAGCGUUAUCCGGAAUCACUGGGUUUAAAGGGUGCGUAGGCGGGAGAUUAAGUCAGUGGUGAAAGCCUGUAGCUUAACUACAGAAUUGCCAUUGAUACUGAUUUUCUUGAAUUGGGUUGAGGUUAGCGGAAUGUGACAUGUAACGGUGAAAUGUUUAGAUAUGUCAUGGAACACCGAUUGCGAAGGCAGCUAGCUGGGCCUUGAUUGACGCUGAGGCACGAAAGCGUGGGUAGCGAA